rnacentral:rRNA from 1 species
CAGAGGGUGCGAGCGUUGUCCGGAAUUACUGGGCGUAAAGGGCGCGUAGGCGGCUUGAUAAGUAUGGGGUGAAAUCUCACGGCUCAACCGUGAGGCUGCCUUGUAGACUGUCAGGCUUGAGCACGGUAGAGGCAGAUGGAAUUCCCGGUGUAGCGGUGGAAUGCGUAGAGAUCGGGAAGAACACCAGUGGCGAAGGCGGUCUGCUGGGCCGUAGCUGACGCUGAUGCGCGACAGCGGGGGGAGCAAACAGGAUUAGAUACCCUGGUAGUCCACGCCGUAAACGAUGGGCACUAGGCGUCGGGGGGAGCGACCCUCCCGGUGCCGUCGCUAACGCUGUAAGUGCCCCGCCUGGGGAGUACGGCCGCAAGGCUG